rnacentral:tRNA from 2 species
GAGACGCUAGUAAAACUAUUACACUUCCUUGUCAAGGCAGAAUGGCGGGUGGAACUCCCGCGCGUUUCG